rnacentral:rRNA from 1 species
UUCGGGGUACACGAGCGGCGAACGGGUGAGUAACACGUGGGUGAUCUGCCUUGCACUUCGGGAUAAGCCUGGGAAACUGGGUCUAAUACCGGAUAUGACCUUCCAGUGCAUGCUGGUUGGUGGAAAGAUUUAUCGGUGCGAGAUGGGCCCGCGGCCUAUCAGCUUGUUGGUGAGGUAACGGCUCACCAAGGCGACGACGGGUAGCCGACCUGAGAGGGUGACCGGCCACACUGGGACUGAGACACGGCCCAGACUCCUACGGGAGGCAGCAGUGGGGAAUAUUGCACAAUGGGCGAAAGCCUGAUGCAGCGACGCCGCGUGCGGGAUGACGGCCUUCGGGUUGUAAACCGCUUUUGACAGGGACGAAGCGCAAGUGACUGUACCUGUAGAAUAAGGACCGGCCAACUACGUGCCAGCAGCCGCGGUAAUACGUAGGGUCCGAGCGUUGUCCGGAAUUACUGGGCGUAAAGAGCUUGUAGGCGGUUCGUCGCGUCGUUUGUGAAAACUUGGGGCUCAACCCCAAGCUUGCAGGCGAUACGGGCGGACUAGAGUACUUCAGGGGAGACUGGAAUUCCUGGUGUAGCGGUGAAAUGCGCAGAUAUCAGGAGGAACACCGGUGGCGAAGGCGGGUCUCUGGGAAGUAACUGACGCUGAGAAGCGAAAGCAUGGGUAGCAAACAGGAUUAGAUA